rnacentral:tRNA from 1 species
AGCCCUGUAGCUCAACUAGUGGAGCGCCCGACUCUGACUCGGGAGGUUGAUGGUGCGAAUCCAUCCGGGGCCG